GUUAGUGUGUGUAUGUGUAAGGCUGCUGUGUGUGUAAGGGUGCUGUUAGUGUGUGCUGUGUGUGUGUAAGGGUGCUGUGUGUGUGAGGGUGAUGCGUGUAAUGGUACUGUUAGUGUGUGCAUUUGUGAGGGUGUUAGUGUAAGGGUGUUGUUAGUGUGUGCUGUGUGUGUGUAAGGGUGCUGUGUGUGUGAGGGUGCUGUGUGUAAGGGUGCUGUUAGUCUGUGUAUGUGUAAGGGUGCUGUGUGUGUAAGGGUGCUGUUAGUGUGUGCUGUGUGUAUGUGUGAGGGUGCUGUGUGUGUAAGGGUAUUGUUAGUGUGAGGGUGCUGUUAGUGUGUGUGCUGUGUGUGUAAGGGUGAUGUAUGUGUGUGCUGUAUGUUUGUGUGUAAUGUGUGGGGGCUGUUUAGUUAAUAUCCCCCCUCCCUUCUUACCUUAUGUAGAGAGACCGUGCUCCUGCCUUCCCUGGUGGUUCACUCUCGCAAGAUCUGAGCGUUGCCGCGUGAACCGCGGCAAUGCUCCGACCGUGCGAGAGGAGCCCGGCGGAGCUGCUGUCAAGAGCUCCCCGGGUCCUCUCCUGCCUCCCUCCCUGCCU